rnacentral:rRNA from 1 species
AUUGCUCAGUAACACGUGGACAACCUGCCCUGAGGACUGGAAUAAUCCCGGGAAACUGGGGGUAAUUCCAGAUAUGUCAGAACUCCUGGAAUGGGUUCUGGCAGAAAGGCUCCGGCGCCUCAGGAUGGGUCUGCGGCCUAUCAGGGUAGUAGUGGGUGUAACGUACCUACUAGCCUACGACGGGUACGGGUUGUGAGAGCAAGAGCCCGGAGAUGGAUUCUGAGACAUGAAUCCAGGCCCUACGGGGUGCAGCAGGCGCGAAAACUUUACAAUGCGGGCAACCGCGAUAAGGGGACCUCGAGUGCUGGGUUACAAACCUGGCUGUUGGGCUGCCUAAAAAGCAGUCUAUAGCAAGGGCCGGGCAAGACCGGUGCCAGCCGCCGCGGUAACACCGGCGGCUCGAGUGGUAACCGCUGUUAUUGGGUCUAAAGGGUCUGUAGCCUGCCGGCUAAGUCUCUUGGGAAAUCUGGCAUCUCAAGUGUCAGGCUGCCAGGGGAUACUGGUCAGCUUGGGACCGGGAGAGGUGAGAGGUACCUCAGGGGUAGGGGUGAAAUCUUGUAAUCCUUGAGGGACCACCAGUGGCGAAGGCGUCUCACCAGAACGGAUCCAACGGCAAGGGACGAAAGCUAGGGGCACGAACCGGAUUAGAUACCCGGGUAGUCCUAGCCGUAAACGAUACUCGCUAGGUGUCGGCCACGGUGCGACCGUGGUCGGUGCCGUAGGGAAGCCGUGAAGCGAGCCACCUGGGAAGUACGGCCGCAAGGCUGAAACUUAAAGGAAUUGGCGGGGG